rnacentral:rRNA from 1 species
CUACGGGGCGCACCAGUAAGGAAUAUUGGGCAAUGGACGCAAGUCUGACCCAGCCAUGCCGCGUGCAGGAUGACAGCCCUACGGGUUGUAAACUGCUUUUAUACGGGAAAAAUUCCCCGGUCGUGAAUCGGGGUUGAUGGUACCGUAAGAAUAAGCAUCGGCUAACUCCGUGCCAGCAGCCGCGGUAAUACGGAGGAUGCAAGCGUUAUCCGGAUUCAUUGGGUUUAAAGGGUGCGUAGGCGGAAUGAUAAGUCAGUGGUGAAAUCCUACAGCUUAACUGUAGAACUGCCAUUGAUACUGUUGUUCUUGAGUACAUUUGAAGUGGGCGGAAUGUGUCAUGUAGCGGUGAAAUGCAUAGAGAUGACACAGAACACCGAUCGCGAAGGCAGCUCACUAAACUGUAACUGACGCUGAGGCACGAAAGCGUGGGGAUCAAACAGGAUUAGAUACCCUAGUAGUC